rnacentral:rRNA from 1 species
UACGUAGGGUGCAAGCGUUGUCCGGAAUUAUUGGGCGUAAAGAGCUCGUAGGCGGUUUGUUGCGUCGGCUGUGAAAUCCCGAGGCUCAACCUCGGGUCUGCAGUCGAUACGAGCAAACUAGAGUGUUGCAGGGGAGACUGGAAUUCCUGGGUGUAGCGGUGAAAUGCGCAGAUAUCAGGAGGAACACCAAUUGCGAAGGCAGCUCGCUGGGACGUAACUGACGCU